GGGAUGUAGCUCAGAGGUAGAGCGUUUGCCUAGUGUGCUCAGGGCCCUGGGUUUGAUCCCCAGCACCCA
rnacentral:tRNA from 1 species